AUUGAACGCUGGCGGAAUGCUUUACACAUGCAAGUCGAACGGCAGCACGGGGCAACCUGGUGGCGAGUGGCGAACGGGUGAGUAAUACAUCGGAACGUGCCCAAUCGUGGGGGAUAACGUAGCGAAAGUUACGCUAAUACCGCAUACGAUCUACGGAUGAAAGCGGGGGAUCGCAAGACCUCGCGCGAAUGGAGCGGCCGAUGUCAGAUUAGGUAGUUGGUGGGGUAAAGGCUCACCAAGCCGACGAUCUGUAGCUGGUCUGAGAGGACGACCAGCCACACUGGGACUGAGACACGGCCCAGACUCCUACGGGAGGCAGCAGUGGGGAAUUUUGGACAAUGGGCGCAAGCCUGAUCCAGCCAUUCCGCGUGCAGGAUGAAGGCCUUCGG
rnacentral:rRNA from 1 species